rnacentral:lncRNA from 1 species
UCUUUUUAGGGCUGCACCCGCAGCAUAUGGAGGUUCCCAGGCUAGAGGUCUAAUUGGAGCUGCAGCCACCAGCCUACACCACAGCUCACGGCAAUGCUGGAUCCUUAACCCACUGAAUGAGGGCAGGGAUCGAACCCACAACCUCAUGGUUCCUAGUGGGAUUCAUUUCUGCUGCGCCAUGACAGGAACUCCUAAAUCUAUGAAGUUUUAAAAUACUUAUUUUUUAGAGAUACAUACUGAACGCUUUGUGGAUGAAAUGACACGAUGUGUGGGAUUUGCUUUAAAAUAAUAAGAGAAAGAAGGGGAGGGAGGGAGUAAACAUGAAACACAGGCGACCAUAAAUUAAUAAUUGCUGAAGUUCAUAAGUGUUGAAUAUGGGUAAUGGGUUCAUUAUACUAUCUUCUCUACUUUUAUAUGUGUUUGAAAUCCUCCACAAUAAAGAGUUUAUUUAAACAAAAAGCUUGUUUGCUGAAGAGUUUGGUUUUUGUGUUUGGUUUUUUAUUAUUGACUAUGAAAACUGAGGUGUGGAGUUCCUGUCGUGGCUCAGUGGUUAAUGAAUCUGACUAGGAACCAUGAGAUUGAGGGUUCGAUCCCUGGCCCCGCUCAGUGGGUUAAGGAUCCAGCAUUGCCAUGAGGUCGAAGACGCAGCUCGGAUCUGGUGUUGCUGUGGUUCUGGUGUAGGCUGGCAGCUGUAGCUCCGAUUCGACCCCUAGCCUGGGAAUCUCCAUGUGCCAAGGGUGCGGCCCUAGAAAAGACAAAAAAAUAAAAUAAGAAUAAGGUGUAAUUGCUCCAUUAAAAAAUCCCCAGGGAGACAGAACGAUCUGCCCAUAUGAUAACUUAUAUCUACUGGUCCUUAUAAAUUAUUCUUCCUUCACACCCCAGGUUUCAGGCCCAGACCUGGGAAAUUUUGUUUACACAUACAGCAGAACAUUAAAAUAUCCCAUAUCGCAAAAUGUAAUGCAAUCCCUUGUUUUCAGUGAGAUGCUUUCCCUGCCUCUCUCCUGGCAGAACCCUUUUGGUCCAAACUUCACAGAGAAUAAAUCUCCUGUCCCAUGUCUGUGUUGGAGGGAAAGGUCGCCAAGCUGCAAGAGCCAGGAUGAGGAAACGGAAAUCUGUUUCUUAUAAAGACUCAGAUGAGUCCUGUUGUAUCAGCGCCCUCUCACAUUCCAUCCUCACCAGCUGGGAUCUGAGGUGGGGAUUUUUCUUUCUAUGGCCACACCCACAGCAUAUGGAAGUUCCCAGGCCAGGGGUAAAAUCAGAGCUGUAGCUGUGACCUACACCACAGCCAUGGCAGCACUGGAUCUGAGCCGCAUCUGCAACCUGCACUGCAGCUUGUGGCAAUGCUGGAUCCUUAACCCACUGAGCGGGGCCAAGGAUUGAAGCUGCAUCCUCACAGAGACAGUGUUGAGUCCUGAAUCUGCUGGUCUACAUUGGGAACUCCUUGAGGUGGGGAUUGACUUCAGACUGAUAGAACAUUUUCUGGGCUCCAUUAAAUCAAUUAUAACUAGUCUUUGGAAUUUCCACCUUCCAAAAUGUUGACGUAUAUUAUUUUCUAUCAUCCCAUCUCUAAUUCUUUUUUUUUUGUUUUAUCAAUUGGUAUCAUUUUAAUCUUUCAUUCUAAAUUGUAGGGCUUAGUGGGAGCUUGAGAUAAAUGCAUUUGUGUAAUCCAAUUCCUUUAGCUGGAAAUCCCUGCUUAAGUGCAUCAGGCUGGAUCAUAGCAUCCCUUUGUUUUCAUAGGACUCAUUUCAGGUGUCUUGUGUGGAUCUACCUUUCUUCUUUAUAUAUUAACUGGCUGUAUAUCUUGAACCAUGUCCGCCCAGACUUGCGGUAUCUGUCAGGCUCACCUGCCAAACCAGAUUCCUACUUUGAGAAUCUUUUAAUCAAGGCUGUCUCUCCUGACAGGAGUAAUGCUUCGCUGGAUUGAAUUAUUAUUCUAGCUUAGCCAAAUAACCCAGAGAGAUUACUACCAUCAAAAGCAUCAAGACACACUACGGAAGAGUACACUUCCCUUUGUUUCAAAGCAGAAGCCAGGCUAAUUCUACCUUCUGGAAGGUUAUGGCAUCAAAUUCUGUUUAAACAAGAAUUAGCUCUGUGAGGUCAGCAGUGUACAUUUGCAAGUCCAGUAAAAGGCGGUUAGCUUUUUCUUAAGGGGCUCAGCAGUGCCUUCUGUUCACUUCUUGAGUAGCAGGUAAAGCACCUUUGGAGGGGGAAACUGGCUUCUGGAGGUGAUGGCAAUAGCUUCUUUCUGUCCAUCUUGCAGAGUUGGGGAGAGAGAAGCCAGGAAAAGUAGACGCCAGGGCUUUAGCAGAGACCCUGGGAUCUUUUGCAAGGCACAGUCGAGUGGGGUUCUCUUCCCAGCCCCUACCUAGGUCACAGAUCUCCCACCACAGUCUCAAUUUUGUGAGAUCCAGAAAGCAUUAUGGUCCUGUGUCCAUUUGUAAAGCUGCACUUGGAAUAUGAACUUUGAUGUAGAGAGUGCUCUUCACUCUAGAAUGGUUUUGACGUAGCACUUAAGGUCAAACAUUUCAAUGAAGCUAGUCCCAAAAUUCUGUGGACCCCAGUUUUUGCCUGUUUACUUAUUGUGGCAAAAUCAGAGAUAAGCCCUCUGAUAAUAACACUUACUGUUUUCCUUUACUUUCUUUUAUUUCUGCCUCCUUUGCUUCUCCUCAAUGAUUAUGAUUUAACAUUCACUGAGUACCUAUAUAUUCGAGAUGAAAAGAAGCAGACAUAGUUCUUGUCUUUAAGGAGCUUACUGUCAAUAUAGUAACAUUUGAGAUUAGUAUUCAGUUCAGAGGAGAGAAUAUUUCAGAGAGAACCAGAUUUUCAUUUUCCCUUUCAAGACAGCAUUCUCCUUCUCUGCUCCACUUUGUGCAAAAACGUUGUCAUCAUCAUGUUCAAGCCUUCCAAGUGCAUCUUUUAUAAUUCACAUGCCACCCACAUUGGCCCAACUCCCUUGUUUUGUUUUGUUUUUUUUUUCCCCAAAAGGAUGUGUCAUCUUUGGUUUGGGUUUGUUAGCCCUGAAUGAGGAAGUCUGCCUCAAACUCACCCAUUCUUUUUUUUGGGGGGGUGGGAGGGGUUGCUACUCUUCCCUACCCUUGAAGUAAAAUUGAAUGCAAAUGAACAUCUCAUCUGUUUCAUAUUUCUGUGCGCACAAUUCAUAGGGCUAGAAUGGGUUUCUUCCAUUAUCUUAAUUGAAUCCAUCUUCCACACAUAAACAUUUGAAAAGGAAACGUGGAUUGCACAAGAGCAGGCUGGGACCCUGAGUUUGAGGCCUCUUCUUAUUAACUGGCUGCAUGUCCCCUGCUACUCAUGCACACUUUUGCCUCAGUUUCCCAAUCCUGGGAAUUCCGUGUAAUAACCCUGUUUAUUUCAUAGAUGUUGGAGAUAAGAAAAGGACUACUUAAAUAUACAUGGAAUGUUGCCAUUUCUGUUUAAACCACCUCUGAGAUGGUGGAACUUCACAAAAUAUGGCUCCCCAUUGCUAUGAUACAGACCAAGAAUACAGAAUAUUUUAUAUUUCCUCUGUGGAGUUCAAAGUUUGUUUUGAAUUUAUUGAUCAGCUGCAUGCCUUCAUUCUUAUGGGGGGAGGAGUUGUAAUGAUGAGAUAAAAUAAGCUUAAAUGAAUCCAGCUUGUGAAGAUCACUUCCUUUGCCUUACCAUUCCCUGUUUUGGGGUUUUUUCACACAAUGGCUUUGUUUCUAAGUCUAUAUAUGAUUUUCCACCUGUUUGAGGUGAAAAUAACUUUAAAAAGAUUUUGCUCUAUAAGUUUGCAGGGGAUAAACAUGAGCAGUAACUCUUAUUCCUCUAUAUUAAGAUAUUUUUCUUUUAAAUCUACUGACUUCAUAGCAGGAGUUGUUUCUGCUCUUAUUUCACAGUAAAUGGAAAAUCUGUUCCCAUAGAAUAGACAGCCCUUCCUUUGCCCAAGGAUUUGUUAUCUGAUGAAAUUGAGGGUUAAUAUGUCUUAAGAAUGUCCUAAGAAUAUUCACAUUACCAAAAUCUGAUUUGCACACAGAUUUUCAAGAAAUUGCAUGAAAUCAUGCAGGUCAUUCUCCACAAAGCAGUUAGUCAUCUUUUAAAACACUGUUUGAAUAAUGUCAUGUCUCUCCUUAAAAUCCAUGUAGGUUUUCUAUUUUAUUUAGAACAGAAUUCAACCUACUUCCUACAGACUUCCAGGUCAGUAUCACUUGACCCAGGCCUCCUCUACAGAUUUUCUCUCACCAAUUUCCCUCUGCUUACUGUAUUCCCUGACACUAACCCAUUGACUAAUUUAUUUACUUGACACAUUUUUUUUCGAGGACCCAAAUGUUUUAGAUACUGUUCACUACACUCUAAAUACCGCUUAGAACAAAUGCAGCAAAGCCUUUCCCCAAAUGGAACUGGUAACUUGGUUGGGGCGGGGGUGGGGAGUGGUUGGCACAAAUGACAAAGAAAACAUUAUGUGAUAUGUUAGGAAUACAUCCAGUGAAACCAAAUACAAUGUGCACUGCAAGGCAAAGAAAAAGCAAGAGAUCUUUGUUUGAGUAGCUAAGGGAGACCUUUCUAAGGAGAUAAUAUUUUAGAAAAGAUGUGAAUGAAAUGAAAGGAUGAAUCAUCAGAUCUGGUGGAAGAGUAUUCUAGGCAGAGGGAAUACCCAGUGCAAAGGCUCUGAGAUAGAAAUGAGUUUGUGUGUCUGAUGGACAAUGAGAAGGGUUGUGUUGGUGGAAGGGAGUGAGAGAGGGAAACGCAGGCAAUGAGAUCACAGAGGCAGGGUCAGAUCAUGUAAGAACUUGUAGGCAAGGAGCUGGAUUUUAAUCUGAGGGCUUUGGGAAUAGAUUCUGAAAGUAUGAGAUAGGAAGUUGGGGUUGUUGCAACUGUCUAGGUGACAGAUAAUGGUAUCUGGGAUUAGGAAAAUGGUAGAUUCUGGAGAAGUAUUUGGAUUCUAGAUCUUUUUUUGAGAUCGAAUAUUUCAUUUUUUUCACUGAGGUAUAAGUGACAAAGAAAACAGAUAUUGAAAGUGUACAAUGUGUAGAUUUGAUAUACACAUACAUUGCGAAUAGACUGCCCUCAAAGAGUUAGUUAAUACAUCUCUCAAAUCACAUAUUUACUGUUUUUUGUUUCCUUCUGGAUGAGAACAUUUAAGCUCUACUCUCAGCAAUUUCAGAAAAAAAAUUUUUAAGGUGAAGUUAAAAGUAUUGCUAUUGGAUUCGAUAUGAUGUGUAAGAGGCCAAAGAACUUACAGAUGACUCCUGAAUUUUUAGCUGGAGCAACUGGAUAGAUGAAGGUUCCAUUUACUAAAAUUGGAAAGAUUGAGAACAGAUCAUGAUUUGAGGGGAAAACAAGGGUUUUGUUUCCAGUAUGUGCAGUUUGAGCUGCCUAUUAGACAUUCACUGGAAGAUGUCUUUGCAACUGAAAACGUAAAUCUGAUACGUAUGGCAGAGUUUGUGGACUAGGGUGUCUAGCAUUUGCACCUAAUGCAGUAAAUAAAAUAAAUUAGAGGAGAAAUUGAUUGCACAAGAGACUGUAGAGGAGCAUUAGCUGAAGCAGAAGGAAAACUGGAGUGUGAAAUGUUCUGGAAAUCAGUCAAAUAAAGACUUUCAAACGGAGAAAACAAUCAACAGUGUCAAAUGCAGUCAAACAUACUGACCUCACACCAGUCAGAAUAGCCAUCAUUAGUAAGUCCACAAAUUACAAAUGCUGGAUAGGGUGUGGGGAAAAAGGAACCCUCCUGCACUGUUGGUGGGAAUGUAAAUUGGUACAACCACUAUGGAAAACAGUAUGGAGGUAGCUUAGAAAACUGUAUAUAGAACUACCCUAUGACCCAGCAAUCAAACUCUUGGGCAUACAUCUGGACAAAACUUUCCUUGAAAAACACACAUGCACCUACAUGUUCAUUGCAUUCACAAUAGCCAAGACAUGGAAACAACCUAAAUGUCCAUCAACAGAUGAAUGGAUUAAGAAGAUGUGGUAUAUAUACACAAUGGAAUACUACUCAGCCAUAUAAAAGAACAAAAUAAUGCCAUUUGCAGUGACAUGGAUGGAACUAGAGACUUUCAUACUAAGUGAAGUAAGUUAGAAAGAGAAAGGCAAAUACCAUAUAACAUCACUUAUAUCUGGAAUCUAGGAUAUGGCACAAAUGAACCUUUCCACAGAAAGGAAACUCAUGGACAUGGAGAACAGACUGGUUGCCGAGUGGGAUGGAGUGGGAAUUUGGGGCUAAUAGAUGCAAACUAUUGCCUUGGGAAUGGAUAUUGCCAAUGAGAUCUAGCUAUAUAGCACUGGGAAUUAUAUCUAGUCACUUAUGAUGGAGCAUGAUAAUGUGAGAAAAAGGAAUGUAUACAGGUAUGUAUAACUGGGUCACCAUGCUGUACAGUAGAAAAUUGACAGAACACUGUAAACCAGCUAUAAUGGAAAAAA